CAACCCAAUGAUGGGAUAUCUAUUCUCGAGAUUGAGAAUCCAAGAUCACCCCCCAAGCAGUGAUUUUAGAUUGAAAUAUAAAGACAAAAAUACUUCUUAGUUAAGCAAAAUAUUUGGUAUAUCGAUAUAUCAUUAAUAUAUUAUAUCAAUAUUGUAUAUAUAUGAUAUUAUAUUAUAGUUGAUAUUAUAUAUUAUGUUUAUAAUAUAUAGAAAAAAUUAUACGAACAUCCCUUCAAGUUUAUCUCAAUUUC
rnacentral:lncRNA from 1 species